rnacentral:rRNA from 1 species
CGGCGGACGGGUGAGUAAUGUAUGGGGAUCUGCCUGAUGGCGGGGGAUAACUACUGGAAACGGUAGCUAAUACCGCAUAAUGUCUACGGACCAAAGCGGGGGACCUCCGGGCCUCGCGCCAUCAGAUGAACCCAUAUGGGAUUAGCUUGUAGGUAAGGUAACGGCUUACCUAGGCGACGAUCCCUAGCUGGUCUGAGAGGAUAAUCAGCCACACUGGGACUGAGACACGGCCCAG